rnacentral:rRNA from 1 species
GAUGAACGCUAGCGGCAGGCUUAACACAUGCAAGUCGAGGGGUAGAGGAAGCUUGCUUCCUUGAGACCGGCGCACGGGUGCGUACCGCGUAUGCAACCUACCUUUUACAGAGGGAUAGCCCAGAGAAAUUUGGAUUAAUACCUCAUAGUAUAUGUUUUUCGCAUGUUAGACAUAUUAAAGUUCCAACGGUAAAAGAUGGGCAUGCGUCCUAUUAGCUAGAUGGUAAGGUAACGGCUUACCAUGGCAACGAUAGGUAGGGGUCCUGAGAGGGAGAUCCCCCACACUGGUACUGAGACACGGACCAGACUCCUACGGGAGGCAGCAGUGAGGAAUAUUGGACAAUGGGCGCAAGCCUGAUCCAGCCAUGCCGCGUGCAGGAAGAAGCAUCUAUGGUGUGUAAACUGCUUUUGUACGGGAAGAAACACUCCCUCGUGAGGGAGCUUGACGGUACCGUAAGAAUAAGGAUCGGCUAACUCCGUGCCAGCCGCCGCAGUAAAAC